rnacentral:rRNA from 1 species
GUCCACACCGUAAACGUUGGGCGCUAGGUGUGGGACUCAUUCCACGAGUUCCGUGCCGCAGCUAACGCAUUAAGCGCCCCGCCUGGGGGAGUACGGCCGCAAGGCUAAAAACUCAAAAGGAAAUUGACGGGGGCCCGCACAAGCGGCGGAGCAUGCGGAUUAAUUCGAUGCAACGCGAAGAACCUUACCUGGGUUUGACAUACGCCGGAAAGCCGUAGAGAUACGGCCCCUUUUAGCGGUGUACAGGUGGUGCAUGGGCUGUCGU